CUUCCCGAGGAGCGUUGCGACGGUGGCCAUGAGGCCCACCGCCAGGCUCGGGACGGUGCAGCCGCCUUGAAGCGGGCCGCACCCGGCAACGGCGCUCACCCACC
rnacentral:ncRNA from 2 species